CGUUCCUUUAGCUUAAUGGGUAGAGCGUUGGACAUUUAAUACAACGGUCGUGGGUUCAAAUCCCACCAGGGAUGA